UACGUAGGGGGCAAGCGUUGUCCGGAAUCAUUGGGCGUAAAGCGCGUGUAGGCGGCCAGAAAAGUCCGCUGUGAAAACUCGAGGCUCAACUUCGAGCUGUCGGUGGAAACUUUCUGGCUAGAGUCCGGAAGAGGAGAAUGGAAUUCCUGGUGUAGCGGUGAAAUGCGCAGAUAUCAGGAGGAACACCGGUGGCGAAGGCGGGUCUCUGGGCCGUAACUGACGCUGGAGGAGCGAAAGCAUGGGGAGCAAACAGG
rnacentral:rRNA from 1 species